AAAUGGUGCAUCAGUCAUGAUCUCACUUUGGGUAACAACUUUGACAUUUUCCUCAGGAAAUUGAAUAUAUGAGACUCUCCCUUUGUCUUCUCGUUCCCAGAAGGUUUCAGUCUCCUUUUUUUUUUAAUGGACCCUCCUUCCCCAUGGAUGUAUACAUGCAAUAGAGCCAACCUACAUUUAGUCUUCUUCUGAAUGAAAAUACCAAAUAAUUGACUAGGAGUUCUUUCCCUUCAUCUUUCUUUUUUUCAGGUUAGGAUAGUGGGAGAGCCUCCUUUCAGCUGCCAUUAUCCAAUCUAUGAAAGCUGAGCUGAGAGAGAAAUGUUGUGAGGUGAGCAAGGGUAAGACAGCUACACAAGAAAGAAAAUGGCCCAUCUGAGAGGGAGAAAUUGGCCAACGAGACACUUAGGAUUCCAGACUGGCUCUCUCCGCUCCCCGCUCUCCCUCUCUCUCCCUGUCUGCCUCUCCACCCCCCCCUUCAUUAAAAAAGAAGGGUGGUGCAGGUUAGUAAUGAUUCAGUUAGACCUGCAGGCCUGGCACUGCAGUUGGAGCAACAUUUUAUUCUGCAUCAGCAGAGAAAUAUGACAUUUAUCACUUUGGAAAGAGCUGUGCCACUUUCCUCCCCAAGACCAAAUCUGAGAAUCCUUCUAUUGAGGAUCUGAGAGCCAGAGGAAAGAGAGCUUAAUGUCUUCCAGGGGUUGAGUAGGGGGAGCGGUAUUCAGGUGCUGGAAACUGGCACCUGUGCCAUGGGUUGAGCAAAGCCCAGAGGGAUUGGGAUGGAUAAAUCGGACAUUUGGAUUCUUUAAGUUCUUCACUUUUUACAAUUUGUCACAUUUCUGCACCAGCAUUUUUUAAAAGUCUUCAUGAAAAUUUGUUCUUAUUUCAGAGCACCCCCCCCCUCAUAUAAUGUAGUUUUUGUAUGUUACUUUCACUGAUAUGUGUGUUUCUGUGACACUUUCCUCUAGUAUAAGUAUUCAUAUGCACAUUGUUUGGUUAGAACUGCAUCAUGCAAAUUUCUAAGUAUGGCUGUGUUUCAGUUCACAUAUUGCUUUGGGAAAUAUGAAUUUAGUCUGCAUUAAAAAGCAAAUUGAACCAAAUUUCUCUCCCACCUCUUCAGAGGGAAAGUCUUGUUAAGUAGGUUACAGUGAGACAGAGCGGGGGAAGGAGAGGAGAGAGAGAGAGUCUUAUAGCACCUUAAAAAUUCUUUCAAAAAAUAGCAUAAGCUUUGGUGGUAAGACAGACCUCAGAUGACUUAUGACAGGUUAAGCCAUUUAUAACAGAAAACUGAAUCCUCCAGAAAGUUCCAGAGGAAACCCAUUUUGUAUCCAAUGACCAGUGAAGCAAGUUUUGUGAACAAGUGUAUUCUAUUUCCAAGGGGUUGUUCUGAGGGACUGUAUUUACCUUGGAGCCUGUGUUUGAAGGCUCCCAGGCUUUGCUGGCCUUGGUGACAGUCAUGAGUUCCUGAUGAGAUAUAGCUGCCAAGUAACCACAAGGACGUCAUGAAGGCUGGAGAGCAAAAAGGAUUUAAAACUAUUUGACUGAGAGAUAAGACAAACACAAAUGUGCAUGUAAAGCCAUCUGUCUGCCUCUGUCCCUGCCUGCUUUACUACUAAAUGAACAGAAAUUAAUUCAGUAUAUGUACAUGGCCUAUGGGUUAAAUCUAUCUUUCUUUACUUCUGACCUUUCUGUUUCAUCCUGUUUUAUUUAUAUAUACAGUAAAAAAAAUUUUUAAUAUAAUGAAAGGCUGACAAUUGGAAGAACUACCCUUGUUUUGGACGCGGGUGGCGCUGUGGGUUAAACCACAGAGCCUAGGACUUGCCGAUCAGAAGGUCGGCGGUUUGAAUCCCCUUGAUGGGGUGAGCUCCUGUUGCUCGGUCCCUGCUCCUGCCAACCUAGCAAUUUGAAAGCACAUCAAAGUGCAAGUAGAUAAAUAGGUACGGCUCCAGCGGGAAGGUAAACGGCAUUUCUGUGCGCUGCUCUGGUUCGCCAGAAGCGGCUUAGUCAUGCUGGCCACAUGACCCGGAAGCUGUACGCCAGCUCCCUCGGCCAAUAAAGCGAGAUGAACGCCGCAACCCCAGAGCUGGCCACAACUGGACCUAAUGGUCAGGGGUCCUCCCUUUACCUUUACCCUUGUUUUGGGUUUGUAUUUUGGUCGAUUGUUUGUUAUUUAGAUGUGUUUUGCAGAAUGACACCCCAACUGGUAGACCUGAGAAAAUAUUAGUGAUUCUUGCUUUAUUGGGGACCUAUGUAGGGUUGCCAUACUUCAGAUUUUCCUGGACACGUCCUCAUUUUCAGGCCUAAAAUGCCACACAAAAUGUCCAGGAGUUUUUGCAUGGCAUUCCCAGCCUUUUCCAACAGGGUCGGUUGCAGAGGACUUGGCCAGCCAGGCCACCUCCACCUGCACUGGGAGGCCCUGGGGCCUGGUAGGUGCAACAAGUGAGGCGCCUCUGGUGGAGCUUCAAGGGCUUGGCUAAGGUAGGCAUGGCUAAGGUGGCGAGGUGAGGCAGGACCAUCCAUGAGCGAGCAGACAGAGUCUUGGCUUCUCCACUGGCGGUGGCUGCCAAUGCCCUCCAUUGUAGUGACUGAGUGCCAUGCACCAGAUUCAAGACCAAGGUGGGCAGAACCCUCCAGGAGCACAUCUCUCACUCGGGGCAGCGGAGCCCUGUGGGAGCCCUAUGAGGGGCCAUGGGGAGGGUGCAGGGCAGAGCCUACCGCUUCCAACGUGCACCCAGGAGCCCCAGUGGGGCCAAGAGCAGUUGGGGGGGGCACAGCUGAGGCUGGCCAAGGAGGGUGCCACUGGACAGGUGUCCAUGCCUGUGACAUCCCUCCUGGAGGGUCGCUUCAAAAUCUGCAAAGCAGCUUGCAGUCCUUGAGGCAAAGCUGAGAUGGAAGGGUCAGGGAAGAGCACAGCUGAACUGAGCUGCAACAACCUGGCUGCUCUGGGGAGAAAUGGAGGCCAGAUUAUAGAGGGACCUUGGUGCCCCUUCAUUUCUGGCUAAACAGGGCCUCCAUCGCUGCAGGACCUGGUGAGUGGGCUGCUGCUUCUCCCACUCCUAAACCCCGCCAGAUCCACGAGGGAGUGGAGAGAAAGGCGGCCCUUCUCCCUCCCUCCCCUGCCAUUGGUGGGCAGCACUGAGGCAGGAACCAGGCUUAUGAGGAGAGAGAGAGAGAGAGAGAGAGAGAGAGAGAAGCAGUGAAGGAGAAGCAUGAGGUGCCACCAACACCUCUCAAGAGGCGGGGAAGAGGCAGAGAGAAGGCACACAUGCUCCUUUGCUUGGUGCGUUUCCUAAGCUUGGCCAUUGGACUUGCCAUAUGCCUCUGCUACCCAGCCUCCCUCCUUCCCUGCCAGCUCUCCUAUUUCACCAGCUGCCUGGUCAAGAUCCGGGAGGAGGGUGGUGGCAGGAGCAUGUCUGGUGUGUGGGUCAAGAAGAAGAGUUUGAGGCGUCUCUGUCCACUUUGCUUGGGUCACGGUGCACAUAGCCUGAGGCCUUGGGGGGUGGUGUCACAAAGCAUAAUGGCCACUGGCAAGAAGUAACAAAUAAACAAACAAACAAAUAAACAAAUACUGGCAGGAAAUAACAAACAAACAAAGGGGGUGUUUGUGGGUGAGUGGGUGUCCUCUUUUUUGCUCUUCAAAAUAUGGCAUCCCGAAGUUCCAGCAUAAAAGCUGUUUGCCCACAUACAAUAAUAGAAUCACAGAUUUAGAAAGUUAGAAGGGAUCCCAAAGGUCUAGAUUCAAAUUCAUCAGAUGCAGAAGGAUAGACUAGUAUGCAAAAGCUUAUGCUAUAAAAAGAAACAAACAUGUUGGUCUUUAUGUUUCCACAGCACUUUUUACAGAAAGAGAGAGAGAGAGAGAGAGAGAGAUGGAUAAGAUAGCAAUACCAUGGAGGAAGGUAGGUUGAGGUUUCCUUCAUGUAUUUGCAUUAAUAUGGGAGACCACAUCCCAAUGCAUCAUCAUCAUCCGCAGCCCGAAAUGCAACAGCCACAGAAAAUGCAACUGGAUUCCACUUAAUGUAGAAACUGAUCCUUUGCAACCAUAAAAAACUGUUGUAUAUGGGGGUCUGCACACACGCACACAUGACACACACCUGCAAUAAAGCAUGCUGUUCCUCGAGCACCUGCUUUUAGCAUUGUGACACCAGUUCUCUGGGAUUGCGUGCCAAGGCCCUAAGACCCCACAGUUCCUUAGGGAAAUGAAUAGCCGCACAUAGACAAUAACAUUUUAAAUUUGGGCUUGAAUAAGGCCACAACUUUAUUGGUUACAGAAGAGAAUGGUUUGGUGUGGGCAUUGGGUAAAGCCAUUGCUAGUCCACUCCAGCCAGUCUGCUGGAAGUGCAUCUAAAGGUAAACCACAUAUUGGGGGGAUGCCCUAUGACCUACAUCAAAUAGGGGUGCCCCCUACAAGGCCCCCGUUGGAGGAGUGGUAUGGCCCCCACCCCUGCCUGGAGGUCAGGCAGAAGCCACUCCUCCCGGAUGUAACUGAUUUGUGGAAAAGACUUUACAACCAGAAAAAAAGAAACAAUGCAGGUACUUUUGUAAAUCAAGAAUUUUUUUUAAUAAAAAUUAUUUUAAAACAAACAAACAGGAUACCCUUUUCCCAAGGAGGGGCAGGCGGAGGCUACAACCUCCCCUCCAGCCAAUAUCUAGACUCACUCCAUGCCUAACUGCCUUACAAAGGUCUGCCAAUUGCUAUGAGGUAGGCGAAAGCCAGAUAGCCGGUGCCAAUUUGCCAAAUGGAAAAAUUCCUGCCUGGCCCCGAACACGACAGCCAGCUUGGUCCAUAGCAAGGUCAUAACACCAGAGAAGCAUUCAAGUUAAGGGAGGGUGAGAGGGAGAUCGUGAAAAAACAGGGCAGAGCGCUGGGCAAACCAGCGUGGCCCAGGGCUUGGCCACAACAAUGCCCACCAAGGAAGGUGAACGGACUUCUCAAAGAACUGUAGCAAGCCCCAAUAUUGCUAGGUUAUUGACAUUAGUUGAAAGCUUGUCUUUUUCUAACAAGCCUCCAUAAAUCAGUUUGUUUUAUAUCUGUUUUAUAUUUUUAAUUCUUGUUUUCAUAAGGAUCUGUAUUCCUGUUUUAUAUUUUAAUUCUGUGCACUGCUCAGGUAUCCCUGAUUUCAUAUUGGUUUAUAAAUUCUGAGUCUAAAACCUUGUUAUCUAUCCCAAUGUGGUGUGAAAAUAAGGGUGGUUUUCUGUAUAGAAAAGUAUCCCCAUUUUCCUCUGGGAAAAGUUGGAGGCUAUAAAAUAAACAAACAGAAGAAAUUUAUUCUGGCCAAGGCUGGCUCUGGGUUUGAUCUCUCAGCAAGGCUCCGGGUUUGAUCUCUCUCUCUCUCUCUCUCUCUCUCUCUCUCUCUCUCUCUCUGUCUCUCUCUCUCUCUCUCUCUCUCUCUCACACACACACACAGAGAGAGAGAGAGAGGGAGGGAGGGAGACCACACACAAAAAAACACAAAGAAAGAGAGAGAGUGUGUGCAUUAGUGAAGUGGGCUUCUUUGGCAACAGGCCCUGGAUCAUGGAAACCACUUGCAAGUUACAAUCUGGGCAGGAACCGCUCAGGUAAUUUAGUAUGUCUACCCAGUGUGGUGAAUAACUGAACUGCAGAUGGUAGCCUUCUCUGUGAAGGCCCUUCUGAACUAUCUCCACCCUCCCAAGCCCACCACUGAAUACUUCUAGACAGGUAGGCUUCCUUUCCUUGCUGAGGCUUGAUUGAGCAAGGUCUUCCUGACCACUCUUGUAUUCCUCCAUCUUGAGUAUCCUUUCUUCCUGAUUUCCAGCUUUACUCCUCAAACCUAUCUCUUUUUGGCUUGUUCACACUUCCAUUUGUGCCGUGAAAGCGUAGGUCUGAGAGGUUUUCCACUUGUUCUGUGCGUCUAGGCAUGGGUCUAAGUGAUUUUCUGUUUGCCCCAUUGCUUUCCCUGGGAAAACCCACUCCUUACCACCAAAAUCAGAGCAAAUGUCAUUCUGUAGAAUUGCCCAAUUGGCUCUGAUUCAGUGGUUUCCCUUGGGGGAAGAGGUGGGACAAGCAGAAGUGUGGACUGUAAGAAAAACACUGGGGCCUAAUUUGAAUAGUAGAGUGUUUGGUGUCUGGUGGGCGGGGCUUGUGUGUUCUGCUCCAGAAUCAGCCCCUCCCUUCAGUGUCUGUUCAGUUAAGAGUGUCAGUUAAGAUGGACCAACUGCCUCUUCUUGUCUCUUGCCUCAGACUUGCCUCAUGUACAGUCAUACCUCGGAUUAAAGUAGCUUCAGGAUUAAUAUUUUCGGGUUGCGCUCCGCGGCGACCUGGAAGUAACAGAGCGCAUUACUUUCAGGUUUCGCCGCUCGCGCAAGCACAGACGCUCAAAAUGAGGUCACAUGCAUGCGCGGAAGCGGCGAAUCACGAUCCGCAGACGCGUGGACUCGGGUUGCGUUUGCUUCAGGAUGCGAACAGGGCUCCAGAAUGGAUCCCGUUCACAUCCAGAGGUACCACUGUAUUUAGUUUCUCUCAUUAUGUUAUUUUGUUAUUACAGUUUUCUAUAUUAUUAAAGCUUAGUUUACAUUUACGUGAGCCACUUAUUUUUCUCAAAGAAAAAGAAACUCUGCUGAGGAAAGGUGUGGAAUGUCUUAAACUGCUUGAGUGAGGGGAUAUUCCCAGCUUGCCAGAAGUGAUUUUGUUAAUCACCCCGCCACACACACACACACACACACACACACCUCCACAACAUGGACGAGCCCUCAGUUGUGUGCCUAAAUGAUAUCGAGCAUCAGAACAACUUGGCCACAAUAAGGAAAUUUUGCCCGUGGUAUGACAAUUUUCCACCUUCCCAUUUCGACUCUCUGGCACCCUAUCUGCGUAACCUAGCAAUUCUAAAAUAUAGACGCGCUUUUACUCUCGCAAAAUUAAAUGUAUUGCCCUCGGCUGUACUUGAGGGACAAUUCCAACAGAUUCCACACAAAAAACACUUAUGUCCCUGCAGAGAUGGUAGUACCAAAUCGGUGGUGCAUGCCCUUCUGGGUUGCACUCUUUAUAAAGACUUGAGGAAUGAGAUUAUCACUCCUAUUUUAUUGUCCAUUCCAGGUCGCCCAACCACUGCCACAGUGUCCUUUCUCUUGGCAGAUCAAGAUGAGCUGGAGACAGCAAAAGUUGCAAGGUUUUUAGCUGGGGCAAUCAGAAUAAGAUCCACUAUUUGACUUGAUUCAAAACCCUAAAAU